rnacentral:misc_RNA from 1 species
CGUUUUAGAAACAUCAGUGGCCAACAGAUCGCCAGAUCGUUGAGCUGCAUUGGCGGGAUUUCGCCGUCUUCGUUUCUCUUUCUUCGCGGACGAACACGCGCUGGGCCUGCAACGGCAGGAUCCAGGGUCCUUAACGGGAUGUGCGUUAGGGGCUUGUAGCUCAGUUGGUUAGAGCGCGCGCUUGAUAAGCGUGAGGUCGGAAGUUCAAGUCUUCCCAGGCCCACCACUUUCAUCGAGUGAGCAUUCGUCUUCUGGUUACGGGGCCAUAGCUCAGCUGGGAGAGCGCGUGCUUUGCAAGCAUGAGGUCGUCGGUUCGAUCCCGUCUGGCUCCACCAGAUGGUUUGAUCACCGAGAUCUUGACCGUCGUCCGCGAAACAUCACUUCGCAUCCUGCUAGUCUGGAUAGACAGCAGUUUGCGUGUUUUCUGACAUCGUAAAGAGGAGAUCGAUCCGAGUUGGGUCGUGCAGCAUAUCGUUGCGCGAGCCUUCAUUAUCUCCGGAUCAUUUCGGCGCUCGCUUCCAGCCGUGAGGUUGGAUGCGGGUUGUAAAUGAUCCUUUUAGCGAAGCUUGACCGCCUCGCUAUCGGAACGAUCUUACGAAGCAAGCUGGUCUUUCUAGUCAAUGUCCGGCUGCGGAUAGCGUUCAUCGAGGGCGCGUGCCGCAAGGCAAUUCUGCAGACAACAUUCUGCCGAGUGUGUGGACAUUGAUAAUGAGAGCAAUCAAGUGCCUUAAGGGUGUUCGGUGGAUGCCUUGGCGCUGAGAGGCGAUGAAGGACGUGCUACGCUGCGAUAAGCCGUGGGGAGCUGCGAAGAAGCUUUGAUCCG